ACUACGGGUGGCAGCAGUGGGGAAUAUUGCACAAUGGGGGAAACCCUGAUGCACCGCCGCCGCUUGCGUUCCUCCUUCUUUCUUUCUUUCCCUCUCUCUCCUCCUUUCAGCACAUGACGGUACCUGAUUAAGAAGCCCCGGCUAACUACGUGCCAGCAGCCGCGGUAAUACGUAGGGGGCAAGCGUUAUCCGGAUUUACUGGGUGUAAAGGGAGCGUAGACGGCAGCACAAGUCUGGAGUGAAAUGCCGGUGCUUAACCCCGGAACUGCUUUGGAAACUGUGCAGCUAGAGUGCAGGAGAGGUAAGUGGAAUUCCUAGUGUAGCGGUGAAAUGCGUAGAUAUUAGGAGGAACACCAGUGGCGAAGGCGGCUUACUGGACUGUAACUGACGUUGAGGCUCGAAAGCGUGGGGAGCAAACAGGAUUAGAGAAAAAAGUAGUC
rnacentral:rRNA from 1 species